rnacentral:rRNA from 1 species
AGUGGCGGACGGGUGAGUAACGCGUGGGUAACCUGCCUCAUACAGGGGGAUAACAGUUAGAAAUGACUGCUAAUACCGCAUAAGACCACAGCACCGCAUGGUGCAGAGGUAAAAACUCCGGUGGUAUGAGAUGGACCCGCGUCUGAUUAGCUAGUUGGUGGGGUAACGGCCUACCAAGGCGACGAUCAGUAGCCGGCCUGAGAGGGCGACCGGCCACAUUGGGACUGAGACACGGCCCAAACUCCUACGGGAGGCAGCAGUGGGGAAUAUUGCACAACGGGGGAAACCCUGAUGCAGCGACGCCGCGUGGAGGAAGAAGGUCUUCGGAUUGUAAACUCCUGUUGUUGAGGAAGAUAAUGACGGUACUCAACAAGGAAGUGACGGCUAACUACGUGCCAGCAGCCGCGGUAAAACGUAGGUCACAAGCGUUGUCCGGAAUUACUGGGUGUAAAGGGAGCGCAGGCGGGAAGACAAGUUGGAAGUGAAAUCUAUGGGCUCAACCCAUAAACUGCUUUCAAAACUGUUUUUCUUGAGUAGUGCAGAGGUAGGCGGAAUUCCCGGUGUAGCGGUGGAAUGCGUAGAUAUCGGGAGGAACACCAGUGGCGAAGGCGGCCUACUGGGCACCAACUGACGCUGAGGCUCGAAAGUGUGGGUAGCAAACAGGAUUAGAUACCCUGGUAGUCCACACCGUAAACGAUGAUUACUAGGUGUUGGAGGAUUGACCCCUUCAGUGCCGCAGUUAACACAAUAAGUAAUCCACCUGGGGAGUACGACCGCAAGGUUGAAACUCAAAGGAAUUGACGGGGGCCCGCACAAGCAGUGGAGUAUGUGGUUUAAUUCGACGCAACGCGAAGAACCUUACCAAGUCUUGACAUCCUGCGACGCACAUAGAAAUAUGUGUUUCCUUCGGGACGCAGAGACAGGUGGUGCAUGGUUGUCGUCAGCUCGUGUCGUGAGAUGUUGGGUUAAGUCCCGCAACGAGCGCAACCCUUAUUGCCAGUUACUACGUUAAGAGGACUCUGGCGAGACUGCCGUUGACAAAACGGAGGAAGGUGGGGAUGACGUCAAAUCAUCAUGCCCUUUAUGACCUGGGCUACACACGUACUACAAUGGCGUUAAACAAAGAGAAGCAAGACCGCGAGGUGGAGCAAAACUCAAAAACAACGUCUCAGUUCAGAUUGCAGGCUGCAACUCGCCUGCAUGAAGUCGGAAUUGCUAGUAAUCGCGGAUCAGCAUGCCGCGGUGAAUACGUUCCCGGGCCUUGCACACACCGCCCGUCA